AUAUCUCUCCGUACGGGAAGGAUGAGAAGCUUCGACCAAGGUUCGAUUCGAGCGCAGCGAGAAAGC
rnacentral:sRNA from 1 species